rnacentral:rRNA from 1 species
AGUGGAUGGGGAGCAACCUAGUUGUGCGUGUGUAAAGGUAGUGCCAAGAAAAGCGGUGGUCAUGAUGAAAAUCAAUUCCCGGUACCCGAAACCGACACAGGUGGGCAAGUAGAGAAUACUAAGGGGCGCGAGGUAACUCUCUCCAAGGAACUCGGCAAAAUGACCCCGUAACUUAGGGAGAAGGGGUGCCACCGAGAGGUGGUCGCAGUGAAGAGGCCCAGGCGACUGUUUAGCAAAAACAUAGGUCUCUGCAAACUCGAAAGAGGAGGUAUAGGGGCUGACGCCUGCCCAGUGCCGGAAGGUUAAAGAAGUUGGUCAGUCUUAGGAUGAAGCUAGCGACUGAAGCCCCGGUGAACGGCGGCCGUAACUAUAACGGUCCUAAGGUAGCGAAAUUCCUUGUCGGGUAAGUUCCGACCCGCACGAAAGGCGUAACGAUCUGGGCGCUGUCUCGGAGAGAGGCUCGGCGAAAUAGGAUUGUCUGUGAAGAUACGGACUACCUGCAUUUGGACAGAAAGACCCUAUGAAGCUUUACUAUAGCUUGGAAUUGUGUUCGGGCUUCCUGUGCGCAGGAUAGGUGGGAGGCGUAGAAGGUAUUCUUGUGGGGAUACUGGAGCCAACGGUGAGAUACCACUCUCAGGAGGCUAGAAUUCUAACUUAAUUAAGGACAGUUUCAGGUGGGUAGUUUGACUGGGGCGGUCGCCUCCAAAAAGGUAACGGAGGCGUACAAAGGUUCCCUCAGACUGGUUGGAAAUCAGUCGAAGAGUGCAAAGGCAGAAGGGAGCUUGACUGCGAGAAGUACAGUUCGAGCAGGGUGGAAACACGGUCUUAGUGAUCCGACGGUGCUGUGUGGAAGGGCCGUCGCUCAACGGAUAAAAGUUACUCUAGGAUAACAGGCUGAUCUCCCCCAAGAGUUCACAUCGACGGGGAGGUUUGGCACCUCGAUGUCGGCUCAUCGCAACCUGGGGCGGAAGUACGUCCCAAGGGUUGGGCUGUUCGCCCAUUAAAGCGGUACGUGAGCUGGGUUCAGAACGUCGUGAGACAGUUCGGUCCAUAUCCGAUGUAGGCGUGAGAAUAUUGAGAGGAGCCUUCCUUAGUACGAGAGGACCGGGAAGGACGCACCGCUGGUGUACCUGUUAUGAUGCCAAUUGUAAACGCAGGGUAGCCAAGUGCGGAGAGGAUAACCGCUGAAAGCAUCUAAGUGGGAAGCCCACCUCAAGAUGAGUAUUCUGGUGUAAGGUCACGGGAAGACGACCCGUAAAUAGGCACGAGGUGGAAGUGCAGAGAUGUAUGAAGCCGAAGUGUACUAAUAGACCGUCGGCUUGACC